rnacentral:rRNA from 1 species
GAUGAACGCUGACAGAAUGCUUAACACAUGCAAGUCGAUCGGGAAGUGGUGCUUGCACCAUGGUAACCAUGGCGGACGGGUGAGUAACGCGUAAGGAACUUACCUGCGGGACCGGGAUAACAGCAGGAAACUGCUGACAAGACCGGAUAAGGUCAUUAAGCUGCAUAGCUUAGUGAUGAAAGGAGACGCCUGCGGAGAGCCUUGCGUCCUAUUAGCUAGUUGGAGGGGUAACGGCCCACCAAGGCGAAGAUAGGUAGCCGGCCUGAGAGGGUGGACGGCCACAAGGGGACUGAGAUACGGCACUUACUCCUACGGGAGGCAGCAGUGGGGAAUAUUGGACAAUGGGGGCAACCCUGAUCCAGCAAUUCUGUGUGCACGAAGACGGUUUUCGGAUUGUAAAGUGCUUUCAGCAGGGAAGAAGGAAGUGACGGUACCUGCAGAAGAAGCGACGGCUAAAUACGUG